rnacentral:rRNA from 1 species
GAUGAACGCUGGCGGCGUGCCUAAUACAUGCAAGUCGAGCGAACGGACGAGAAGCUUGCUUCUCUGAUGUUAGCGGCGGACGGGUGAGUAACACGUGGAUAACCUACCUAUAAGACUGGGAUAACUUCGGGAAACCGGAGCUAAUACCGGAUAAUAUUUUGAACCGCAUGGUUCAAAAGUGAAAGACGGUCUUGCUGUCACUUAUAGAUGGAUCCGCGCUGCAUUAGCUAGUUGGUAAGGUAACGGCUUACCAAGGCAACGAUGCAUAGCCGACCUGAGAGGGUGAUCGGCCACACUGGAACUGAGACACGGUCCAGACUCCUACGGGAGGCAGCAGUAGGGAAUCUUCCGCAAUGGGCGAAAGCCUGACGGAGCAACGCCGCGUGAGUGAUGAAGGUCUUCGGAUCGUAAAACUCUGUUAUUAGGGAAGAACAUAUGUGUAAGUAACUGUGCACAUCUUGACGGUACCUAAUCAGAAAGCCGCGGCUAACUACGUGCCAGCAGCCGCGGUAAUACGUAGGUGGCAAGCGUUAUCCGGAAUUAUUGGGCGUAAAGCGCGCGUAGGCGGUUUUUUAAGUCUGAUGUGAAAGCCCACGGCUCAACCGUGGAGGGUCAUUGGAAACUGGAAAACUUGAGUGCAGAAGAGGAAAGUGGAAUUCCAUGUGUAGCGGUGAAAUGCGCAGAGAUAUGGAGGAACACCAGUGGCGAAGGCGACUUUCUGGUCUGUAACUGACGCUGAUGUGCGAAAGCGUGGGGAUCAAACAGGAUUAGAUACCCUGGUAGUCCACGCCGUAAACGAUGAGUGCUAAGUGUUAGGGGGUUUCCGCCCCUUAGUGCUGCAUCUAACGCAUUAAGCACUCCGCCUGGGGAGUACGACCGCAAGGUUGAAACUCAAAGGAAUUGACGGGGACCCGCACAAGCGGUGGAGCAUGUGGUUUAAUUCGAAGCAACGCGAAGAACCUUACCAAAUCUUGACAUCCUUUGACAACUCUAGAGAUAGAGCUUUCCCCUUCGGGGGACAAAGUGACAGGUGGUGCAUGGUUGUCGUCAGCUCGUGUCGUGAGAUGUUGGGUUAAGUCCCGCAACGAGCGCAACCCUUAAGCUUAGUUGCCAUCAUUAAGUUGGGCACUCUAAGUUGACUGCCGGUGACAAACCGGAGGAAGGUGGGGAUGACGUCAAAUCAUCAUGCCCCUUAUGAUUUGGGCUACACACGUGCUACAAUGGACAAUACAAAGGGCAGCGAAACCGCGAGGUCAAGCAAAUCCCAUAAAGUUGUUCUCAGUUCGGAUUGUAGUCUGCAACUCGACUACAUGAAGCUGGAAUCGCUAGUAAUCGUAGAUCAGCAUGCUACGGUGAAUACGUUCCCGGGUCU